rnacentral:rRNA from 1 species
GUCGUGCGCAAGGCGAACGGGAAAUGGAGACUUUGUAUCGACUUUAUCGAUGUUAACAAAGCUUGUCCCAAAGACCCAUUUCCUUUGCCGCGCAUUGACCAGAUUGUUGACUCCACGGCCGGAUGUGACUUGCUUUCAUUUCUUGACGCAUACUCAGGAUACCAUCAGAUCUUCAUGGCAGAAGAGGAUGAGGAGAAGACCGCAUUCAUCACUCCAUGUGGCACGGUAGUCCAUGUCGCUCUUGAGCCACAAAUACACAGAAAUGUGGAAGCCUACAUGGAUGACAUAGUGGUCAAGAGCAAGGACAAGGCAACUCUGAUUCAAGAUUUAGACGAGACCUUUGCAAAUCUGCGCAAGAUCAGCCUCAAGCUCAACCCCGAGAAGUGUGUGUUUGGAGUCCCCUCUGGCAAGCUUCUCGGGUUCUUCGUGUCUCAGCGGGGAAUCGAAGCCAAUCCCGACAAGAUCAAGGCCAUUGAGCAGAUUGAAGCACCAAAGCGCGUCAAAGAUGUACAAAGACUUGCCGGUUGCGUGGCUGCUCUCAGCAGGUUUAUCUCUAGGUCUGCUGAGCGCAACAUG